GGGCGUAUGGCUCAGUUGGCUAGAGCGCAGCCUUCACACGGCUGAGGUCACAGGUUCGAGUCCUGUUACGCCCA
rnacentral:tRNA from 1 species